rnacentral:lncRNA from 1 species
GUAGCUGUCCAAUUCUGUACUUCUGAGGUCAGCAUCGCUUAGGGGUACUGCAGGAGAGCUGGGGGUUGAAGCCCUGACCUAGGGUUGAAUUCUGGUUCUGACGCAGUCAGCUACCAAGUCUCUGCUCUGUACAUGUUGACUAGUCACAUAUAUUAAGGGAAGAGUCCAAGGAGGUAAGCUCAAAAAUCACUCUUGAAAAUCCUUUGGGAAGGCAGCACUUUUGUGGAUAAACAUGUCUCAAUAAGCCCAACCCGGCCAGUUUUUCUAGUUCUUGGUUGAAGUCUGUCUUUGAGCAUUGGAGGAAGCUGCUGGCUUGAACCCAAGACAAUGCUGCACGAAACACAUGUCUCUUUAUCCACCGGAAUUGACUCAGUAAUGAGAUGCUCACGCAGAAGGUACAUGGAAGCAAAUACCAGUUAUAGACUCAGAUUUGAAUCUUCCAUCUCACACUCAGGGGCACAUGUCCAUCACAGGUGGAUACUCCACCAUUACAUUAUUUAAAAUUUCCAUUCCUUCUCUCUUUGGCCAAGUAUAUACAACUGAAUUUACAUGCUUUGAUUGAACGCAUUCAUGAUACAACUCCAUUGUGUCUCACCUCUCCAAAGCUGUUUCUUCUUCUGUAAAAUGAGGGCAGUAACAGUACUACAUCAUCAGACUAUUGUGCAAUCAAAUAAGACAGUAUGUGUAGGAAUUUUAAAUCGCUGCCAGACAAAUGACUUUCAUUCCCUUCCCCCAAAUUUUCCCUAACUAACUGUGUGAAACGUGAGCAGACCCUUCCCUCUCUGGGUCUCAAUGUUCUCCAACAACAAAAUGUGGGGGUUGUGUUAGUUGAUUUCUAAGGCCCCUUCCAGCUUGAAGCUUUUAGGAUAGUGCUGUAAUUCUAGGGCAUUUAAUGCAGUCAAACCUUCAAUGCAUUUGAUCUUAGCCAAAAGGCCAAGAAGCUAUCAAGCCUUCAGUGAAUGUUAACUGAUGCUUACAUGGUUUUUCCAGGACUCCUUUACCCAACUGAUAAGGGUCACAUCUAUAAACAGCAGCCCUUUGCACACUGUAGUAUCUUAAAACCUUGAGAAUUACACAUGCAUCUUAAUCGCCUUUUCAUUUGAUCAGCAGAAGUAUACUUCAGCUGCAUCUGAAUCAGCACAAGGUGACUACAUUUAGUGGUGCCCUUACUACAGUCCUUCAGAGGCACCGCGAAUGACAAAUGCUUACCUGUGAUGGGAGUGAAGCACAGCUUUCCCUCCAAGGAACACACACGGACACAUGGACACACACACGGAGGAUAGUCACUAUCCUUGGCUUUGGGAAAAUUCCUCUUUUUAGAUAGCAGUGAGGUAAAAGGAAAUGAACUCUGGAGUUAGGUCUGGACUGAAUUAUUCCAGCUCCUCUAUUAGCUGUGAGAAUUUGGGCAGGUUAACUUUUCUGGGCCUUGUUUCCCUAUCUGUAAAACUGCCAAAGAUGUUUCUGGUGGCAUUGUGUGGGUUACGUUAGCAGCAGCCUGAGGCUUUGGGUAAUGGUAUAAAUGGCAAUACCUCCUCCCAUCUGUCUGGGACCCUUUGAAGACUCAACUUGGUAGCCCAUACCUGGAGCCUCUCCUAAACCACGGCCCCAAUCCUCAGUAUGACCUAACUCCGCAUCACCAGAAUCUUGCCUUACCAGAGCAUACCUUCAGAAUAGCCUCCCUGGGCUGGCAUUUGCUACCUGUCCUGGGCAAGUCUGCACCCUCUAAAGGC